UUUUCCUCCUGAGUUUACAUUGACAAGUUCACAAAUAACUAUCUGUGCAACUCCAGAAGGAUUACCAACAACCUGAAGUACAUAACAGCAGUUCUAGAAAUUGGGAUUUGGGAAAUGAAUCAAUUAAUUGCUUUCUAAUUGUAAAGUGUUUGAAUAAAAUUAGCCCCAGAAGUCCCUGAUGAAAUGGAAAACACAAUCACCCCUUUAUUUGUUAGGGCAUUUUGUUGCACCUUCAAAACUAUCCUGAGCUCUCGUCACU
rnacentral:misc_RNA from 1 species